UGGUCUGAGAGGAUGAUCGGCCGCAUUGGGACUGAGACACGGCCCAAACUCCUACGGGAGGCAGCAGUGGGGAAUAUUGGACAAUAGGGCGCAAGCCUGAUCCAGCAAUGCCGCGUGUGUGAAGAAGGUCUUCGGAUUGUAAAGCACUUUCGGACGGGGACGAUGAUGACGGUACCCGCAGAAGAAGCCCCGGCUAAUUUCGUGCCAGCAGCUCGCGGUAAUACGAAGGGGGCUAGCGUUGCUCGGAAUGACUGGGCGUAAAGGGCGCGUAGGCGGUUUGUACAGUCAGAUGUGAAAUUCCUGGGCUUAACCUGGGGACUGCAUUUGAGACGUGCAGACUUGAGUGUGGAAGAGGGUCGUGGAAUUCCCCAGUGUAGAGGUGAAAUUCGUAGAUAUUGGGAAGAACACCGGUGGCGAAGGCGGCGACCUGGUCCAUAACUGACGCCUGAGGCGCGAAAGCGUGGGGAGCAAUCUUAAUUAGAUACCCCUGGUAGUCCACGCUGUAAACGCUCUGUGCUUCAUCUUGGGUGACCUAGUCACUCAGUGUGGUAGCUAACGCGAUAAGCACACCGCCCUGGGAGGGCGCCGGCCGCAAGGUUGAAACCUCAAAGGAAUUGACGGGGGGCCCGCACAAGCGGUGGAGCAUGUGGUUUAAUUCUAAGCAACGCGUCAGAACCUUUACCAGGCCCUGACAUGGGGCACACCGGUCCCGAGAUGGAUCUUCCCCC
rnacentral:rRNA from 1 species